GCUGAGAGCUCUGAGUGUGGAGCAGCUGCUGAAGGCACUGUGUGGAGCCUGCCUGGGGAAGCUCCUGCUGAAGCUUUGUUGCCCAGGGCAGGUCAGAGGGGAGGAGUUGGUGCCCACAGUGAUUGUGGUAAGGCCCAGCUGGAAGCUGGAAGCGAUGGCCCCAAAGAGCCCUUGUGGCUUCGGGGGAAUCUGGGGACGUAGGAGGGGUGAAGGAAAACACAGAGAUGGAAAGUGUGAUGCAAGCCAGAAUUUAUUGGAGGUUCGAGGGAGGAGGGAUGUGGCAGAAGGUCUGAGCCUGGCCAGAGGAUGUCCCCAUCUCCUUGCAGAGGGCAGAGGGACAGGAGCAGGCAGCCAGCAAAGAGCUGCAACAUCAUGGGGAGGCCAGACCUGGAGCAAA